GAUGAACGCUGGCGGCGUGCCUAAUACAUGCAAGUCGAGCGAAUUGACAGAGGUGCUUGCACCUCUCGAUUUUAGCGGCGGACGGGUGAGUAACACGUGGGUAACCUACCUAUAAGACUGGGAUAACUUCGGGAGACCGGAGCUAAUACCGGAUAAUAUUUAGCUUCGCAUGAAGCAAUAGUGAAAGACGGUUCUGCUGUCACUUAUAGAUGGACCUGCGGUGUAUCAGCUAGUUGGUGAGGUAACGACUCACCAAGGCAACGAUACAUAGCCGACCUGAGAGGGUGAUCGGCCACACUGGGACUGAGACACGGGCCAGACUCCUACGGGAGGCAGCAGUAGGGAAUCUUCCGCAAUGGACGAAAGUCUGACGGAGCAACGCCGCGUGAGUGAAGAAGGUUUUCGGAUCGUAAAACUCUGUUGUAAGGGAAGAACAAGUACGUUAGUAACUGAACGUACCUUGACGGUACCUUACCAGAAAGCCACGGCUAACUACGUGCCAGCCGCCGCAGUAAGAC
rnacentral:rRNA from 1 species